UUUCUCAUCAUAAUUCAAUAAAACUUAAAAAAAAGAAAGAAAGAAAAUAGAUUUAAAAAAAAGAGAGAGUGCUGAGCCAUGGUGUUUCCUAAGGGGCUAUUAAGCCAAACCACAGAUAUUUCAAACACUUCCCAGCAUAAUGAACAGCACUAAUUAUGGAUCUGUUUCUACCUCUGCUUUUCAGGAUAAUGGGGUCCUAUUUCAAUUCCUUAUGCAGUAAGAGAUCCGACAGAAAGCAGACCUGAUCCCUUACUUGAAAUGCAAUCCCUAAGGAUUAUAGAUUUAUUAAUCUAUUUAUUUAUAUUAUUAUAUAAAAUUAAAUGCCAGAGAAUAGUGGAUUUCAAUAUUGCUUUGCCAGAGUUCGUCCAUUACCCACACUGCAGAAACUGCUAAAAGGACCAGGGGCAUUUAUAGAUCCUGACUAGCAGUAGAAGCCUGGACGAAAGAAGUUUAAGGAUCUUUCUUACAAAGAGAAAGGGUCUCUACAGGACCAGCACCUUCAAGAAAAUAAGUGUUUGUGUGCCUUUAACGAUAAGCCUCACAAGAAUUCGGAAUGGGGGUCGCAAUAAGGCCGUGAGCAAGCAUGGGACAUUUCAUAAGCUCAGGUCGCUAGUGUGCUGAAAGGUGGCUUGCGGUGCCAGUGGAGGGGCUUACUAAGUUGCUUACAUUGGCUUAGAACUUGUGGUUAUCCUGCUUCAGCCUCCCCGGUAGACAAAAUUACAGUGGGCUGAAUCAGACCUUGCUUUGCCACAGCUGGUAGCCCACCUAGGGUAGAGUCUAUUGUCCUGCUACACCUGCAGCUUCCUGAAAGGAGCCACCACCUGCUGAGCAGCUGAGCUUGCUUUCCUGAGGAGAUCCUGGCAAAGCAAAGAGAUCCUGGAAAUGUGGGGGAUGGGUUCCCCCUUUUUAUAUUCAGAACCCAGGAUUAAAGAUUGAGCCUUGAUCAGA